rnacentral:lncRNA from 1 species
CGCCCCGGGGGCUCCGCGCCCCUCCCCGGCCCCCCCAGAAAAACUUUCUCCGCGCGCUGCCCAACUUCUCCCCCCGUCCUCCCCCGCAUCCCGGCCGGACCCUGCCCGGGCGGAGCUUUGGGCACCGAGCGACUUUUACGGCGACUUUCUCGAGUUGCCCCCCCCCCUUAUCCCUCUCCCCCCGCACAGCACCGCUCGGAGCCCCGCUGUGCACGGACCCCCCCGUACGGAACCGCUCCGUGGGACGGGGACACCCCGAGCCCAAAGCGGAGCUGUGCGGGCUGCUGACGUCGGGGUGGGAUGUGGGGGAUGCUCAGCCCCGGGGGGGGCACGGCGGCCCUUGGCGGCAGCUCUGCCCCCCGCCCCCUCCCCGUUGCCGUCAGCUCGGCUGUAGCCGCGCGCAGCAGCCCCGCUCGAAGGGCCCCAGCGCCUUUCACGGCGUAAUUGAAACCAUCGCGCGGCUGCGGGGCGGGGGGAGGGGCGGGGGGGCGGCGGGCAGAGCGGAACCCCGCGGCCCCGCCCGGGACCCCCGGUGCUGUCCCCGCGGCGGGGGCGGUUGGGACCCGGCCGGGCCGGGCCGGCUCUCGGGGUCCGCUCUCGGGACGGGCAGCCCGCAGCCCCAACCCGCACCGGCGCUGGGGUUGAGCCGCCUUGGGAUGGGGGGGAGCAUCCGUGUCUGUGCCCCCCUCCCUCCUCCCGGCGCCGGGGGCAGCUCCGGGCACGCGCGGGGACGGACCGAGCCCCCACGGGGACCGCGGGGCGUGGGGACAGCGGGACGUGCCGGCUGAGCGCGGGGUGACCCGGAGCGGGGGGGGGAACCGCGAUGGGCAGCGCCGGGAGUUGCGGGACGGCGGGGGGACGGGGAGCUGCGGCGGGAGCCCCGGGGCUCGGGAAGGGCCCCCCGGCCCCGGCUUUGUUUCACACUUAAGAGCCGCUAAUUAAAAGCAGGAGCUCGCGGGGCCGCCGGGGGGAGAAAGGGGUGGGGGGCGGGGGGACAUCGGAGCCGACACGUGUCCUGCGUGAGCUGCACACACACGUGUGCACGCCUACGGGGCGGCACCGGGAUCC